AACGAACGCUGGCGGCAGGCUUAACACAUGCAAGUCGAACGCCCCGCAAGGGGAGUGGCGCACGGGUGAGUAACGCGUGGGAAUAUGCCCUUCGGUUCGGAAUAACACAGGGAAACUUGUGCUAAUACCGGAUACGAUCUACGGAUGAAAGAUUUAUCGCCGAGGGAGUAGCCCGCGUAGGAUUAGCUAGUUGGUGAGGUAAUGGCUCACCAAGGCGACGAUCCUUAGCUGGUCUGAGAGGAUGAUCAGCCACACUGGGACUGAGACACGGCCCAGACUCCUACGGGAGGCAGCAGUGGGGAAUAUUGGACAAUGGGGGAAACCCUGAUCCAGCCAUGCCGCGUGAGUGAUGAAGGCCUUAGGGUUGUAAAGCUCUUUCGCCAGGGAAGAUAAUGACGGUACCUGGAAAAGAAGCCUCGGCUAACUCCGUGCCAGCAGCCGCCGUAAAAC
rnacentral:rRNA from 1 species